rnacentral:RNase_P_RNA from 1 species
GAGGCACGUUGGCCGUUUGCGGACGCUGAAAGGCGCGCGCGGAAUGGCUGAUGGAACUCAGGACAUGGGCAACGCGCCUGGUAACGCCAGGGGGCGAAGUUGAAGACGGCGGGGUGACCCGCCGCUACAACGGCGUCACGGAAAGUGCCACAGAGAAUAGACCGCCGGCGGAGCGCAGCACGGUGGCAGUCGCGCAGGGGAACCUGCGAGACGCCGACGAAAUGCACGCGACGUUAGGCAAGGGUGAAAAGGUGGGGUAAGAGCCCACCGCUUCGGUGGUGACACCGGAGGCACGGAAAACCCCGCGUGGUGCAAGGCCAAAUAGGAGGGGAGAGCCGGCCCGGCUCGAUGAGCGCGCUUUUGAAAGAGGGCG